rnacentral:lncRNA from 1 species
ACAGACGCUGAGCCAGAACAGCGUCGAACAGAGCCAGAGACCUGCAGCAGACAGCCUGGCCUCUGCUCCCAGCAGCCCACCCCGGAGUCGGGCCUUCGAAGUGAACCUGCCUCUUGUUGCAUCCAUGAACACUUAUCUGUGACCUGUGCACUCACCGUCCUGUGGGCCCAGGAACCACUGUGAUCCCGGGUGUUGACGGUGUUGAUUCGUUCCCUCGCUCGCACUUGGGAGCACCGGCUGUGGGUCACAUGUGUGACACUGGGAAUCCAGCAACAGUGUGACAGCUACUGCCAAGUCUGCCCUCUUGGAGCCUGAGUUCCAGUGGGGACGAGGCUGACAGAAGAGGUGCCAGGUGCAGUGGAGCAGAGUGGAUACAGCAGGACGGGAAAUGGCCAGCAGGGGCCUGGGAGGCCUCUACCUGGGACAGGGGAUAGUGGAGGAGGUCUCUAAGGUAAAGUGACAGGUGAGCGGAGACCUAGAUGAGGAGGGACAGCCAGGGAGGGGAGGAGAGCAUGGCAGGCACUAAGGCCCCGAGGGCGAGGGGCAGAAAGGAAGCCAGUGUGGCGGGAGCAGAGCAGAGCCUGGCAGGCCAGGCCAUCUGAGUUAGACUUGAUUUGACGUCUCCCUGCUUGCUUAUAUAUCAUGUUAUUAUGUAUGUGCUGGGAGGUUCUCAGCAGGGGAGAGGCAGGACCGAGUCACGCAUGGACAGACAGCACUGGGGAGCGGCCCCCGGGCCUGGCCUGCUCAUGAGGCCCCCGGGGCUACCUGCAGCCUACCCUGAGCCCGUUCUCCAGGCGGUGCUGGGUGCCGGGGGCCCGGGUGCGGGUGCGGGUGCGGGGGGCCACUCUCACGCUCCCUCCCUUCCUCUCACAGGGGGGCAUUUACGUCUUCAAACUCUUCGACUACUACUCUGCCAGCAAGGAGGCCUACAUCUAGGGCUGCGGCCGCCUGCCGAGCGACGCUCUCCCCCCGGCCCGGCUGAGCGUGACCACCACUUGACGUCUGAGGAUCCCUUCUCUCUGAACCUACCUCGGGUGGCGAGUCUGGACCCAUCCCCUCACAUGCAGGGGAGGUGGGCACAGCCAGCCCGGGGUGGGAGUGGGGGGCUCGCCUGGGCUUCCAGCAGCUGGCAGGCUGGCAUCCUUUCCCACGGAGACCCCUGUAAGCAUCAGGUGGCUGUGUUGCACCUGCUGCGGCCAUAUCCUUUCCGUCCUGCCGGCGAGCCUGCCCGCCGGGCCACGCCCUCCUGGGCUUCCAGCGCUUUCCCGACUGUUCUCUCCCCGCCCAGACCCAUGACUGUUAUCCCGGACUUGGAGGGGUUCAGCCUGCACACGUGUGAGCGGCGUCUGGUGCACGCGGGCUCUGGCGCAGCUCUCACCUCCAUUUUCUGGCCCCUUCUUCCCGAGGCAGCUUCACGAGGCCCCCGCAGACCGCAGUCCAGGUCUGCAGUGCCGCUGCCCUCCCCACCCCACCCCACCCCACCCCGUGAAUGA